rnacentral:rRNA from 1 species
GGGUUGUGAGGUUAAGCGACUAAGCGUACACGGUGGAUGCCCUGGCAGUCAGAGGCGAUGAAGGACGUGCUAAUCUGCGAAAAGCGUCGGUAAGGUGAUAUGAACCGUUAUAACCGGCGAUGUCCGAAUGGGGAAACCCAGUGCAUUCGUUGCACUAUCGUUAACUGAAUACAUAGGUUAACGAGGCGAACCGGGGGAACUGAAACAUCUAAGUACCCCGAGGAAAAGAAAUCAACCGAGAUUCCCCCAGUAGCGGCGAGCGAACGGGGAGCAGCCCAGAGUCUGAA